rnacentral:piRNA from 1 species
UCUUCACAGUUACAACAGGAGCAAAGAAAC